GGGACUACUAGGGUUUCUAAUCCUGUUUGCUCCCCACGCUUUCGCACCUCAGCGUCAGUAUCGAGCCAGUGAGCCGCCUUCGCCACUGGUGUUCCUCCGAAUAUCUACGAAUUUCACCUCUACACUCGGAAUUCCACUCACCUCUCUCGAACUCAAGACCAGGAGUUUAGAAGGCAAUUCCAGGGUUGAGCCCUGGGAUUUCACCCCCUACUUUCUGAUCCGCCUACGCGCGCUUUACGCCCAGUAAUUCCGAACAACGCUAACCCCCUCCGUAUUACCGCGGCUGCUGGCACUG
rnacentral:misc_RNA from 1 species